rnacentral:rRNA from 1 species
AGAGAGAGACAUGCGCGCAUAUCAAUAAGCGGAGGAAAAGAAACUAACAAGGAUUCCCUUAGUAACGGCGAGUGAAGCGGGAAGAGCUCAAAUUUGAAAUCUUCAAGGUUCUACCUUGACGAAUUGUAGUUUAAAGAAGUGUUUUCUGCUUGAAGUUUUGGUAAAAGUUCUUUGGAAUAGGACAUCAUAGAGGGUGAGAAUCCCGUAUUUGACCAUUAUUUUCAGCUUUCGUGAUACACUUUCAAAGAGUCGGAUUGUUUGGGAAUGCAGUCCAAAAUGGGUGGUAAAUUUCAUCUAAAGCUAAAUAUUGGCGAGAGACCGAUAGCGAACAAGUACCGUGAGGGAAAGAUGAAAAGAACUUUGAAAAGAGAGUUAAACAGUACGUGAAAUUGUCAAAAGGGAAGCGUUUGACACCAGUGUUGUUUUCUCGAAAAUCAAUUAAAAAUGGCUCGAUUUUGUAUUGCUGAGACCUUAAAAGCUCACUGUACAUUUUUCGUGUCUUUUUUAAUGCACUUUUCGUUUAACAAGUCAACAUCAGUUUCUUUUGUUGUAAAAGGGUCGUUGGAAGGUGGCUUUCUUUUCGGAGAAAGUGUUUAUAGCCUUUGGUCUCUGCAAUCGAAGAGACUGAGGUCUGCAGCGUAGACUCUUCGGGGUUAGAUACAUUUGUGCUAAGUUAUAGCUUUUUAUAGACAACUUGUUGACUAUAAUUAGUCUCGUAGCUUACUCGCUUAUGCUAUUUUACCUACGCUUAGGAUGUUGAGUCGUAGAGCACGCAG